rnacentral:rRNA from 1 species
AGUGAACGCUGGCGGUAGGCCUAACACAUGCAAGUCGAACGGCAGCACAGUAAGAGCUUGCUCUUACGGGUGGCGAGUGGCGGACGGGUGAGGAAUACAUCGGAAUCUACUUUUUCGUGGGGGAUAACGUAGGGAAACUUACGCUAAUACCGCAUACGACCUACGGGUGAAAGCAGGGGAUCUUCGGACCUUGCGCGAUUGAAUGAGCCGAUGUCGGAUUAGCUAGUUGGCAGGGUAAAGGCCCACCAAGGCGACGAUCCGUAGCUGGUCUGAGAGGAUGAUCAGCCACACUGGAACUGAGACACGGUCCAGACUCCUACGGGAGGCAGCAGUGGGGAAUAGUGGACAAUGGGCGCAAGCCUGAUCCAGCCAUGCCGCGUGGGUGAAGAAGGCCUUCGGGUUGUAAAGCCCUUUUGUUGGGAAAGUAAAGCAGCAGGUUAAUACCCCGCUGUUCUGACGGUACCCAAAGAAUAAGCACCGGCUAACUUCGUG